CCUACGGGUGGCAGCAGUGGGGAAUAUUGGACAAUGGGCGAAAGCCUGAUCCAGCCAUGCCGCGUGUGUGAAGAAGGCCUUCGGGUUGUAAAGCACUUUCAGUGGGGAAGAAAGCCUUGGGGCUAAUACCCUCGAGGAAGGACAUCACCCACAGAGGAAGCACCGGCUAACUCCGUGCCAGCAGCCGCGGUAAUACGGAGGGUGCGAGCGUUAAUCGGAAUUACUGGGCGUAAAGCGCGCGUAGGCGGUCUGAUAAGCCGGUUGUGAAAGCCCCGGGCUCAACCUGGGAACGGCAUCCGGAACUGUCAGGCUAGAGUGCAGGAGAGGAAGGUAGAAUUCCCGGUGUAGCGGUGAAAUGCGUAGAGAUCGGGAGGAAUACCAGUGGCGAAGGCGGCCUUCUGGACUGACACUGACGCUGAGGUGCGAAAGCGUGGGUAGCAAACAGGAUUAGAUACCCGUGUAGUC
rnacentral:rRNA from 1 species